rnacentral:rRNA from 1 species
UACGAGAGGCCCAAACGUUAUUCGGAAUUACUGGGCUUAAAGAGUUCGUAGGCGGCAUGAAAAGUAGGGUGUGAAAGCCCUCGGCUCAACCGAGGAAUUGCGCUCUAAACUGUCGUGCUAGAGGAACCUAGAGGUGAGCAGAACUGAUGGUGGAGCGGUGAAAUGCGUAGAUAUCGUAAGGAAGACCAGUGGCGAAGGCGGGUCUCUGGACAGUUCCUGACGCUGAGGCACGAAGGCCAGGGGAGCAAACGGG